rnacentral:rRNA from 1 species
AGUACGGAGCUGGUAUCAGGCAGAUGCCAAUUACGCCACGCUACGCCACACCCACACGGGCCUGCAGCAGUAACUAGUAUUAGGCAAUUAGCGAAAGCUAGACCUAGUUAAAAUUAAGAAGGUUGGUAAAAUUCGUGCCAGCGACCGCGGUUAAACGAAUAACCUAAAAAAAUAGCAACGGCGUAAACAUGACCAGAACUUAAGGAAGAGAUUCAAACCCGCUGUAAAAUGCCAAGUUUAAAAAAACCACAUGCCUUAAAAAUUUUGACUCAUGAAAGCCAAGAAACAAACUAGGAUUAGAUACCCUACUAUGCUUGGCAGAAACAAGGCUUGAGCCCGCCAGAUAAUUACGAGUGAAAACUUAAAAUUCAAAGGACUUGACGGUGUCCCACACACAACCUAGAGGAGCCUGUCCUAUAAUCGAUAACCCACGAAAGACCUCACCACUUUUUGCCAAACAAUCUAUAUACCGCCGUCGAAAGUUCACCCCUUGAGGGGUACAAAGUGAACAAAAAAGCCUUCGCUAAUAUGACAGGUCAAGGUGUAGUAAAUAAAGUGGUCAGAGAUGGGCUACACUUCCUUUCAAAGGAAAAACGAACAGCCUUAUGAAAACCCGCUAGAAGGUGGAUUUAGUAGUAAAAUAGGAUUAGAAAGCCCAUUUGAACACA